rnacentral:rRNA from 1 species
UACGUGAGGGUGCAAGCGUUAAUCGGAAUUACUGGGCGUAAAGCGUGCGCAGGCGGUUUGUAAGUCUGUCGUGAAAGCCCCGGGCUCAACCUGGGAAUUGCGAUGGAGACUGCAAGGCUUGAAUCUGGCAGAGGGGGGUAGAAUUCCACGUGUAGCAGUGAAAUGCGUAGAGAUGUGGAGGAACACCGAUGGCGAAGGCAGCCCCCUGGGUCAAGAUUGACGCUCAUGCACGAAAGCGUGGGGAUCAAACAGG